AGUGUGCCAAAUGCUUUCUUGAUGUGCCGGGGUCGACCCAAUCAUCCUUUGGGUCGACUCAAUCCACACUUUGCUGCAUCUCAAGGUUAGAUUCAUUCAAAUAAACAAUGAAAUGUAUCUAUAUCAAUUUAUCCAAAUAUACUGAGAGUAAUAGACUUAUAAAUGAAGUAUCGAUUUAACUUAUAACAUACUCUAGAUAAUUGCUUGUUAAUCAUCAAAAUAACACUAUCAUCCUCAACUCUAAAAUUCACAUUCAGGCAUACAUCGACGAAUUACUUGAUUGGGACAAUACUUAAACAGAUCGGGGUCAUCCCAAAAGUAGAACUUAACUUGCGAAAAGAAUCGAUCCUUGUCCUGCUUGGACCAAUGAUCGGAAAUUCGUCCUAUGGCAAGAUAGUUCACUAUGUUGGCAAACCAUGGUGUUUUUACUUGUUGUACCUCAA
rnacentral:lncRNA from 1 species